CAACUAAAAAAACUACUGAACUGAACAUAUAAAAUUGGAACUAUACAAAGAUUAGCUUGGACCAUGAGCAGGAAGGACAUGAAAAUUUGUGAAAUGUUCCAUAUUUUU